rnacentral:rRNA from 1 species
UGGAACACGGGCCUCGACUGUUUACCAAAAACAUAGCCCUCGGCUAAUAUGAAAAUAGAUGUAUAGAGGGUGAUGCCUGCCCAAUGGUUGUAUCUAAAAGCGGUUGAUAAAAGUCGACCUCGUAAGGACAAUUGAAUGGCCGCGGUAACACUGACCGUGAUAAUGUAGCGUAAUCAAUAGCCAAUUAAUUGUUGGCCAGUAUGAAUGGCGCCACGAAGGCCCCACUGUCUUAAGGAAAUUCCCAGUGAAAUUGAAUUUGUAGUGAAGAUGCUACGUCCAAUUUGUUAGACGAAAAGACCCCGUUGAGCUUUACUGGAGCACUUACAUGGCCCCGGCCUUCCCAUGCCUGGGAAUCGGCCGAAUUUAAAUGGGCGGCUUAGAUUAUGUGGCAGCCCCCCGCUGGGGCAAAUGAAACACCACUCCCCCAUGUCAAAGGGGCUAACCCCCCCCCCUUGGGGGGGACAGUGUAAGUAGGACAGUUUGGUUGGGGCGACCGCCUUUUAAAAAGUAACGAAGGUGCGCUUAAGGUGCGCAAUUAAUGACUGAAGCCUGACUGCGAGGGGGACACCCCGAGCAGACACCCCAAAGCCCGCCCGAAGGGCGGCGGUGGGGUGGGCCAUAGUGACCCGUUAAUUUAGAGUGGAAUAGUUAACGAUCAACGAAUAAAAG